UGCAUGUCUAAGUAUAAGCAAUUAUACGGCGAAACUGCGAAUGGCUCAUUAUAUAAGUUAUCGUUUAUUUGAUAAUACUUUACUACUUGGAUAACCGUGGUAAUUCUAGAGCUAAUACAUGCUAAAAAUCCCGACUUCGGAAGGGUUGUAUUUAUUAGAUUAAAAACCAAUGCCCUCUGGGCUCUCUGGUGAAUCAUAAUAACUUGUCGAAUCGCAAGGCCUUGUGCCGGCGAUGGCUCAUUCAAAUUUCUUCCCUAUCAACUUUCGAUGUUUGGGUAUUGGCCAAACAUGGUGGCAACGGGUAACGGAGGGUUAGGGCUCGACCCCGGAGAAGGAGCCUGAGAAACGGCUACUACAUCCAAGGAAGGCAGCAGGCGCGCAAAUUACCCAAUCCCGACACGGGGAGGUAGUGACAAUAAAUACUGAUACAGGGCUCUUAUGGGUCUUGUAAUCGGAAUGAGUACAAUUUAAAUCCCUUAACGAGGAACAAUUGGAGGGCAAGUCUGGUGCCAGCAGCCGCGGUAAUUCCAGCUCCAAUAGCGUAUAUUAAAGUUGUUGUGGUUAAAAAGCUCGUAGUUGAACCUUGGGCCUGGCUGGCCGGUCCGCCUCACCGCGUGCACUGGUCCGGCCGGGCCUUUCCCUCUGUGGAACCUCAUGCCCUUCACUGGGUGUGACGGGGAAACAGGACUUUUACUUUGAAAAAAUUAGAGUGCUCCAGGCAGGCCUAUGCUCGAAUACAUUAGCAUGGAAUAAUAAAAUAGGACGUGUGGUUCUAUUUUGUUGGUUUCUAGGACCGCCGUAAUGAUUAAUAGGGACAGUCGGGGGCAUCAGUAUUCAAUUGUCAGAGGUGAAAUUCUUGGAUUUAUUGAAGACUAACUACUGCGAAAGCAUUUGCCAAGGAUGUUUUCAUUAAUCAGGAACGAAAGUUAGGGGAUCGAAGACGAUCAGAUACCGUCGUAGUCUUAACCAUAAACUAUGCCGACUAGGGAUCGGACGAUGUUAUAUUCUUGACGCGUUCGGCACCUUA
rnacentral:rRNA from 1 species